rnacentral:tRNA from 1 species
GCAUUCGUAGCUCAAUUGGAUAGAGCACCCGACUACGAAUCGGGAGGUUGGGGGUUCGAGUCCCUCCGAGUGCG